rnacentral:rRNA from 1 species
UACGUAGGCAGCGAGCGUUGUUCGGAGUUACUGGGCGUAAAGAGCGCGCAGGCGGUCGUUCAAGUCGAGUGUGAAAGCCCCCGGCUCAACUGGGGAGGGUCACGCGAUACUGAUCGACUCGAAGGCAGGAGAGGGUAGUGGAAUUCCCGGUGUAGUGGUGAAAUGCGUAGAUAUCGGGAGGAACACCAGUGGCGAAGGCGACUACCUGGCCUGUUCUUGACGCUGAGGCGCGAAAGCUAGGGGAGCAAACGGGG